CCCCGAUUUUGGGGGGUGGCUAGUGCCCGCCAGAGGACUAUCAAACUCCAGUUAGUAAACGUUGCAGUCUGAAAAAAAUAUUAAAUAAACUAAAACUUUCAACAACGGAUCUCUUGGUUCUGGCAUCGAUGAAGAACGCAGCGAAAUGCGAUAAGUAAUGUGAAUUGCAGAAUUCAGUGAAUCAUCGAAUCUUUGAACGCACAUUGCGCCCCUUGGUAUUCCGGGGGGCAUGCCUGUUCGAGCGUCAUUUCAACCCUCAAGCUCUGCUUGGUAUUGGGCACCGUCCUUUGCGGGCGCGCCUCAAAGACCUCGGCGGUGGCGUCUUGCCUCAAGCGUAGUAGAAUACACCUCGCUUCGGAGCGUAAGGCGUCGCCCGCCGGACGAACCUUCUGAACUUUUCUCAAGGUUGACCUCGGAUCAGGUAGGGAUACCCGCUGAACUUAAGCAUAUCAAUA
rnacentral:rRNA from 1 species